AUGUAUUUAUUGACCGUUUGUAACUAUUUGAGUGUCUUUUUGUACGCCCCAAGCCUUCUCCGAGCCGGGCGCGGUGCGUGCAGCCCGCCGGCUGAGCCGAGCCGGGCCGGGCAUGGCGGGGCUCGGCGCCGGGCCGGGAGGCGGUGCCAGGCCGGGGAGGGCCGGGCAGGGCCGGGAGCCACCGCCUCCCGUCUCCGGGUCGCCGCUGUAACCCUUCCGGGUCGGCAGCCGAGGUGCCGAGGGGCCCGGGGCAGCGCUGCGGCCGCCCCCGAUAUGGAUAGCCAGAAGGAUGAGAAAAGCAGGACGCUCUGUGCCACCUCACAGGACGAGCUGAAAGGCCGAGGUAAAGAAAAAAGGAAGCGAAAACGUAGUAGAAGCAGAUCAUCAUCCAUUUCAUCCACAUCAUCUUCUAGUACUGCAUCCUCUUCUUCUUCCUCCUCAUCACGCUCAUCGUCAAGGUCGUCGUCUUCAAGUAGCAGAGAUUCUCCUAAGUCUAAAUCAAAGAAAAGGAAAAAAGAAAAGCACAAUAAAAAGAAAAGGAAAAAAGAGAAUAAAAUGAAAAAAAAGAAAGAAAAGAAGAAAAAGAGAGAGAAGACAGGACCUGUCCAGCUUUCUAAGUUCUUCAAAAACAAAAAGAAGAAUGAAAACUACAGCAUGAUAACUGGAAAGAAAAUUAAGAUGAAAAUAAAGAAAACUAAGAAGGAUAAAGAGGUAAUACUUAAAACAGUCUGCGUAUCCCUAAUGGAAAAUAUAAUCUCUUUUCAUAUUUUUCUAACAGUACUCUUUAGUAGAGGAGUAGGUUUUACAGGUUACAAAUUGGGUAUAGUAUUUAAUGUGGCUGUGGUGCCACCUGAGAAAGGUAAAUGCAUUCUUUUGGCAAGUUUUGUUAAAUGUGUGGUCUUGGACUGCUCAGGCAUGAGUAGAUAAACCCAAGGAUGCUCAUGCAGGUUCUCAGAAUUUUAGUCCAUAAGAUUUAGCUUAUUCGCGCCUUUCCCUGUUGAUUUAGCUUCUGCUGUUUUUGAUCAUACUCUGCUUUUUCCAGUCUCCUGUGAUCAAACGUGGCAAUUCCUGCUUUACUCUGUUCUUUUUAAUGAGUGUGAGACUAGCCCUUAUUUAGAGAGGAAUUAAAAAAGAUGGUAAUAUCUGAACCAAGUGCUCAUGCAUUCUCUCAGAGCGGUCAGGUGUUUCUGCUGAGAUGCCCAAGGCACUAGAUGCCAGGAAUUGGUUGCAUUUACUGCUAUUGCUACGGGCGUUUUAGACACAGCAUUUAAACAUAGCCACUCUUUUCAGCAAUGUCCAUACCUUAGAGUGAUCUGCAGAGGGCUUCUAUACGAGUCAAUACAUUGACUUAGUUAAAAAGUUUAACAAGUGAUACUUUGCUGAGGUAUCCCGUUCGGUGGGUUCUGACUUAGCCAUAACUGUUUGUUCUAUAGUUACCAAAA
ensembl:lncRNA